AGUGAACGCUGGCGGUAGGCCUAACACAUGCAAGUCGAACGGCAGCACAGUAAGAGCUUGCUCUUACGGGUGGCGAGUGGCGGACGGGUGAGGAAUACAUCGGAAUCUACUUUUUCGUGGGGGAUAACGUAGGGAAACUUCCGCUACUACCGCAUACGACCUACGGGUGAAAGCAGGGGAUCUUCGGACCUUGCGCGAUUGAAUGAGCCGAUGUCGGAUUAGCUAGUUGGCGGGGUAAAGGCCCACCAAGGCGACGAUCCGUAGCUGGUCUGAGAGGAUGAUCAGCCACACUGGAACUGAGACACGGUCCAGACUCCUACGGGAGGCAGCAGUGGGGAAUAUUGGACAAUGGGCGCAAGCCUGAUCCAGCCAUACCGCGUGGGUGAAGAAGGCUUUCGGGUUGUAAAGCCCUUUUGUUGGGAAAGAAAAGCAGCAGGUUAAUACCCCGCUGUUCUGACGGUACCCAAAGAAUAAGCACCGGCUAACUUCGUG
rnacentral:rRNA from 1 species